AACGUUAGCAAAAUAUUUGUUGCAAGCUUUUUCUAAAUGUGCGUUAUAUUUAACAACUUUCCUUGCGUUUCCGAGUCGCCUUUAGACCCAUUGUGCCAUUUAGAAUAACAAGUGUCCCCUGCGUCACAAACUUGGUACGUUCUAGAUUCUUUCUCAUGGGAGGAUGUUAUGUAGUCAUUCUGUUAUUUAAUAGCUCAAUGGUCAGCUGCAAAGUUAUUGUGUUGCCAUUCAAUUUAUGUUGAUCAAUGUGUUUUGAUGUAAAUUGCCUCUUCUCCAGGUGCAACAUGUUGAGCAGCAUUUGAAACUAAUUCUGAGAAGUCGGUUGUACAACGCUGUCUGCAUCUGAAGCAAUUACACAGAUGUUCAUGUUUCUCAGCAGGUUUUGACAGCUGGCUGAUCCUGCCCCAGUAUAUGCUUUUAAAGAUGUUGAUGAUGAGUAUGCCAUGUCUCCUCUCCAAGGCUCAGGAAGCUCCGAUUCAAACUAGACAGCUCUGCAAGCGUUAUAAAGUCAAAAUACGUUCGUUACUCACAAAAUAAAAAUGUACACGCAAUCGAAAGAAUGCCUAUUCACUCACAUCCCAAGGAUCCCGGAUAGCACUAACUUUAAUGCUAUGCACAAGUCGGAAGUCUACGACCGCUCAAUACAUUGAAGGUGCCGAAAAGUGUUUUUUUGCUGUUGCUUGUAAAAUAUUUGUGUAUCCUUUUUUGGAAGUACAAAAAGUACUACGGGAGUAAAUUAAGUUAGUUGCUCAGCGAAACCCCUACAUUGGUUAAAUACCGAACGUAUUUUUACAUAACUGUGUGUCUAAUGAGAGUUUGAAUAGGAGCUUCGUGUUAGAGACGAGACACUUGUCGCUGACAUCUCUAAAGCACAGAUACUGGGUAAUUAGCCUGUUAAUUACACAGAUACUGGGUAAUUGGCCUGUUAGGUUGAAUAGUACAUCUGGAACAACACGUUUUCCUACCAGUCAUUUAGAUGUUGUUGGUUUGGGCCAUGCAUCUAUCUCGGAUUUGGAAUUUGCUUUAACAUUGGUGCUGACUACGCUGUAAAUCUUGGAAAUAAAUGGGGUGCCCAGUAUAGAGAACCUGCACAGAGGAGUGGACAGAGGAGUGGAGUUCGCACUCAGUCACCGGGAAAAGGGCUCCGGUGUCAAUGUCCACUGUAAGGCUGGACGCUGUCGCAGUGCUACACAAGCUGCUGCAUACAUCAUACGGAUUCACUGCUAGGGUCCAGAGGAAGCAUGUCAGAUGUUGGCCUCUAUCCGACCACAUGUAAUAAUUUCUUCUACACAGCUGGAGAUGCUUCGGCAGGUACCAUCAGCAAGUCUGUGGCGGGGGGGUUCCAUUUAAGAUUGUUGAGAGGCUGCCAGCAUACUUUAUUGCACUCCUACAGAAACUGUAAAAUGAGCUUUGUCAAAACAAACCAUAUUCUUCUUGAAGAGUUUUUUUGACCUUGAGCUUAUUCUUUAUUACAUUGUUUUGUUACUCAACUGGAUCAAGGGCAUUGUAUAAUUCAAAUGUUUUAUCACAGCUCAUCAGAACAUGGGGUAUAAUAAAAUGCAAUCCCCAUCAAAGUACUGACAGCUGGGUGAGGGGGUGGGGUGUGUGUAUUUAAAAACAUGUUUCUACGUAACAUUUUUUCCUCCUUAAUAGGGAAUUUGAUUACAAUUUCUAUGUUAAGCAAAUUUUUGUAUGUUACAAAUUUCACUGAUUGUGUGUGUUUAUGUAUAUAUUGGUGAUACGGGAAUAAUAUGUUCAAAGGUAAAUGAUUAAAGAAUCCAACCCUGUCACGUAACUAAUUAGUAGUUAUGUAGCAUGUAUAAUGAAUAAUUAAAGUUCUAAUCGAAAGGCCCAUAAGGUCUAGUAGAGGCCCGGGACAAAAAUGAAAUGUGUGUGUAUUAGUGUGCCUAAGAAAAUAGUAGACAGUGUUUGACCCGACCUAGUGAGGAACUUUGAGUAACUUAGAGAAGAAAGGGAGUGACCCUCAAGGUCUCUCUAAUCUCGGGGGAAAGGAACAGACGCACUGGCUAGUGGUUAACAGUGGUGAGAACUCCAGGGAGGGAUACAACUCACCUACUGUUUGUGUGGAGGUAUGUGCGUAAGUGGAGAGUUAGCAUAAAAUGAAUGUCUUUGUUAUUUGGACCUCAGAACGUUCUCUGAAUAAACUGUAUGAACAUUUUG